rnacentral:misc_RNA from 1 species
UCCAGUUUAUCACUGGCAGUCUCCUUUGAGUUCCCGACCAAGUCGCUGGCAACAAAGGAUAAGGGUUGCGCUCGUUGCGGGACUUAACCCAACAUUUCACAACACGAGCUGACGACAGCCAUGCAGCACCUGUCUCUAAGUUCCCGAAGGCACAAGCUCAUCUCUGAGCUCUUCUUAGGAUGUCAAGAGUAGGUAAGGUUCUUCGCGUUGCAUCGAAUUAAACCACAUGCUCCACCGCUUGUGCGGGCCCCCGUCAAUUCAUUUGAGUUUUAACCUUGCGGCCGUACUCCCCAGGCGGUCGAUUUAUCACGUUAGCUACGGGCGCCAGAGUUAAACCCCAACCCCCAAAUCGACAGCGUUUACAGCGUGGACUAC